rnacentral:rRNA from 1 species
GACGAACGCUGGCGGCGUGCUUAACACAUGCAAGUCGAGCGGUAAGGCCCUUUCGGGGGUACACGAGCGGCGAACGGGUGAGUAACACGUGGGUGACCUGCCCUCAGCUCUGGGAUAAGCCUGGGAAACUGGGUCUAAUACUGGAUAUGACUCCACGGUGCAUGUCGUGGGGUGGAAAGCCUUGUGCGGCUGAGGAUGGGCCCGCGGCCUAUCAGCUUGUUGGUGGGGUGANGGCCUACCAAGGCGACGACGGGUAGCCGGCCUGAGAGGGCGACCGGCCACACUGGGACUGAGACACGGCCCAGACUCCUACGGGAGGCAGCAGUGGGGAAUCUUGCGCAAUGGGCGAAAGCCUGACGCAGCGACGCCGCGUGAGGGACGACGGCCU